rnacentral:rRNA from 1 species
GACAGAGGGUGCAAACGUUGUUCGGAAUUACUGGGCGUAAAGCGUGUGUAGGCGGCCAUAUAAGUCGGAUGUGAAAGCCCCAGGCUCAACCUGGGAAGUGCACUCGAUACUGUAUGGCUUGAGUAUCGGAGAGGUUGGUGGAAUUCUCGGUGUAGAGGUGAAAUUCGUAGAUAUCGAGAGGAACACCGGUGGCGAAGGCGGCCAACUGGACGAAUACUGACGCUGAGACACGAAAGCGUGGGGAGCGAACAGG